CAUUCUAGUAACUGUUGAAUUGUAGGAACUCCAAAUUUCUCAUUUUUUUCCACAAAGAUCUGAUAGAAGUCGCAGUCUUGGACUUUCUGACCUGCUGAUCUGGGAGCACACAGGAAGAAAUGCAUAUAAGCCAUUUACCAAAUGCCUGAAUCGAGUAUGAAGCAUCUGACAGACCUGAGGACACAGCAUCAUAAUGCUCGUGUCCAGCUUUGGAUUGUCCACACACCAGUAUUGUUAAGGGAAAGGCCAGCAUCAGCAAGCUAGUGACAAUGAGAAGAAUUGUCCUCCAUCUGUCAAGCCAACUGCAUCCCCAGACUGUAUCAGAUUUCUUCAUAAGGACAUCCGAAAUGAGGCUCCAGAAACUCAAACCUAGAGUCCGGUCUGCAGCUCUUCAAUUUCACAAACAGAGCCUUCUUCACGUCGCAGGUGAAAUAGCGCGUGCCCCUGAACGUGCCAUCUGUACAGCCCGCACAUUCAUCCUCCUGAAAAAGAAAGGUUUUGGUAUGUGUUAC